rnacentral:rRNA from 1 species
CAAGUCGAGCGAUGAAACCCUUCGGGGUGGAUUAGUGGCGAACGGGUGAGUAACACGUGGGCAAUCUGCCCUGCACUCUGGGACAAGCCCUGGAAACGGGGUCUAAUACCGGAUACUGAUCGCCUUGGGCAUCCUUGGUGAUCGAAAGCUCCGGCGGUGCAGGAUGAGCCCGCGGCCUAUCAGCUUGUUGGUGAGGUAAUGGCUCACCAAGGCGACGACCGGUAGCCGGCCUGAGAGGGCGACCGGCCACACUGGGACUGAGACACGGCCCAGACUCCUACGGGAGGCAGCAGUGGGGAAUAUUGCACAAUGGGCGAAAGCCUGAUGCACCGACGCCGCGUGAGGGAUGACGGCCUUCGGGUUGUAAACCUCUUUCACCAGGGAAUAAGCGAAAGUGACGGUACCUGCAGAAGAAGCGCCGGCUAACUACUUGCCAGCAGCCGGGGUAAUUCA